CGAACGGGUGAGUAAUAUAUCGGAACGUGCCCAGUCGUGGGGGAUAACGUAGCGAAAGUUACGCUAAUACCGCAUACGAUCUAUGGAUGAAAGCGGGGGACCGUAAGGCCUCGCGCGAUUGGAGCGGCCGAUAUCAGAUUAGGUAGUUGGUGGGGUAAAGGCUCACCAAGCCAACGAUCUGUAGCUGGUCUGAGAGGACGACCAGCCACACUGGAACUGAGACACGGUCCAGACUCCUACGGGAGGCAGCAGUGGGGAAUUUUGGACAAUGGACGCAAGUCUGAUCCAGCCAUUCCGCGUGCAGGAUGAAGGCCCUCGGGUUGUAAACUGCUUUUGUACGGAACGAAAAGGUUUCUAUUAAUACUAGGAGCUCAUGACGGUACCGUAAGAAUAAGCACCGGCUAACUACGUGCCAGCAGCCGCGGUAAUACGUAGGGUGCAAGCGUUAAUCGGAAUUACUGGGCGUAAAGCGUGCGCAGGCGGUUAUGUAAGACAGAGGUGAAAUCCCCGGGCUCAACCUGGGAACUGCCUUUGUGACUGCAUAGCUAGAGUACGGUAGAGGGGGAUGGAAUUCCGCGUGUAGCAGUGAAAUGCGUAGAUAUGCGGAGGAACACCGAUGGCGAAAGCAAUCCCCUGGACCUGUACUGACGCUCAUGCACGAAAGCGUGGGGAGCAAACAGGAUUAGAUACCCUGUUAGUCCACGCCCUAAACGAUGUCAACUGGUUGUUGGGUCUUCACUGACUCAGUAACGAAGCUAACGCGUGAAGUUGACCGCCUGGGGAGUACGGCCGCUACGUUGAAACUCAAAAGUAUUUGACGUGACCCGCACAAGCGGUGGAUGAUGUGGUUUAAUUCGAUGCAACGCGAUAAACCUUACCCACCUUUGACAUGUAAAGUAGUCGCCUGAGAUAGCUUCGUAGCUCGAAUUAGUACGUACACUAGUGCUGCAUGCUGUCGUCAGCUCGUGUCUGGGAUGUAGGUCAGUCCCGCAACGAGCGCUACCAUAGUCAUAGUGCUACAUCAGUCGGCACUCUAAUGAACUGGCUGUGACUAACGUAGUAGUUU
rnacentral:rRNA from 1 species